GACGUGGGGGGCCAGCGUUGUGCGGAAUUACUGGGUGUAAAGGGUCAGUAGGCGGUGUGGCAAGUCGGGAGUGAAAUCUCUGGGCUCAACCCAGAGACUGCUUCCGAAACUGCUGUGCUAGAGUGUGGGAGAGGCGCGUGGAAUUGCAGGUGUAGCGGUGAAAUGCGUAGAUAUCUGCAGGAACACCCGUGGCGAAAGCGGCGCGCUGGACCACAACUGACGCUGAAUGACGAAAGCUAGGGGAGCAAACAG
rnacentral:rRNA from 1 species